UACGUAGGAGACGAGCGUUGUCCGGAAUACUGGGCGUAAAGCGCGUGUAGGCGGAUGAGCAAGUCUGCUGUGAAAGCUCCUGGCUUAACCGGGAGUGGUCGGUGGAAACUGCUCGUCUGGAGGACGGUAGAGGUAGGUAGAAUUCCCGGUGUAGUGGUGAAAUGCGUAGAGAUCGGGAGGAAUACCUGUGGCGAAGGCGGCCUACUGGGCCGGACCUGACGCUGAGACGCGAAGGCGUGGGAGCGAACGGGAU
rnacentral:rRNA from 1 species